GGAGGGUAUAGCUCAGUGGCAGAGUGCAUGCUUAGCAUGCAUGAGGUCCUAGGUUCAAUUCCUAGUACCUCCA
rnacentral:tRNA from 1 species